CCUGACUGCUAUCGGAUUGAUACUAAGCCAUGCGAGUCAUUGUAGCAAUACAAGGCAUACGGCUCAGUAACGCGUAGUCAACCUACCCUAUGGACGGGAAUAACCUCGGGAAACUGAGUAUAAUGCCCGAUAGAACAUUAUGCCUGGAAGGGUUUAUGUUCCAAAUGAUUUAUCGCCGUAGGAUGGGACUGCGGCCUAUCAGUUUGUUGGUGAGGUAAUGGCCCACCAAGACUAUUACAGGUACGGGCUCUGAGAGGAGAAGCCCGGAGAUGGGUACUGAGACAAGGACCCAGGCCCUAUGGGGCGCAGCAGGCGAGAAAACUUUGCAAUGUGCGAAAGCACGACAAGGUUAAUCCGAGUGAUUUCUGCUAAAGAAAUCUUUUGCAAGUCAUAAAACCACUAGUGAAUAAGGGGUGGGCAAGUUCUGGUGUCAGCCGCCGCGGUAAAACCAGCACCUCAAGUGGUCAGGAGGAUUAUUGGGCCUAAAGCAUCCGUAGCCGGCUCUGUAAGUUUUCGGUUAAAUCCAUGUGCUCAACGCAUGGGCUGUCGAAAAUACUGCAUAGCUAGGGAGUGGGAGAGGUAGACGGUACUCGGUAGGAAGGGGUAAAAUCCUUUGAUCUAUCGAUGACCACCUGUGGCGAAGGCGGUCUACCAGAACACGUUCGACGGUGAGGGAUGAAAGCUGGGGGAGCAAACCGGAUUAGAUACCCGGGUAGUCCCAGCUGUAAACGAUGCAGACUCGAUGAUGCAUUGGCAUAUAGCCAGUGCAGUGUCGCAGGGAAGCCGUUAAGUCUGCCGCCUGGGAAGUACGUACGCAAGUAUGAAACUUAAAGGAAUUGGCGGGGGAGCACCACAAGGGGUGAAGCCUGCGGUUC
rnacentral:rRNA from 1 species